UACGGAGGGUGCAAGCGUUGUUCGGGAUUAUUGGGCGUAAAGCGCGUGUAGGCGGUCUGUUAAGUCUGAUGUGAAAGCCCCGGGCUCAACCCGGGAAGUGCAUUGGAUACUGGCAGACUUGAGUACGGGAGAGGGAAGUGGAAUUCCGAGUGUAGGGGUGAAAUCCGUAGAUAUUCGGAGGAACACCGGUGGCGAAGGCGGCUUCCUGGACCGAUACUGACGCUGAGACGCGAAAGCGUGGGGAGCAAACAGGAUUAGAUACCCUGGUAGU
rnacentral:rRNA from 1 species